rnacentral:lncRNA from 12 species
CACACACGGGGGGGCUGUGAGGCCUCGUCGGAGGCAGCUAGGGGGCGGCAGGGGCUGUGGGAAGAUGGGAGGCCACUGCUGAGGCCCCAGGGGCCCUGCUCAGGCCGCUCCUCCCACCCCGCUGUCCCCUAGAUCCCCUUCUCGCUCAUCCUGAAGCUGUGGGAUGCCUAUAUAUUGGAUGGGGAGCAGGUGCUCAUGGUCAUGGCCUACACCAUCCUCAAGGUGCACAGGAAGCGCCUCCUGAAGCUGCCCCUGGAAGGGCUCCGGGAGUUCCUCCAGGACUCUCUGGCCCAGCCCUGGGCCCUGGAGGACGAGGCGGUGCUCAGACACCUUCGGGCCUCCAUGACCCAGCUCCGGAGGAUGCGGUGUGACCUGCCCCCCCAAGCGGGACCUGAGGAGUUCCCCACGAGGGCCCUGGGCCUGGAGCGAGUGUCCCUGGUGCCCGGGUCUCUCCUCCCUUCUCCGGCCUCUGAGCCACCACCUAGGGUGGAGGAGCCGGCCUCCCCGGGCCCAGCCACCCAGCCUGAGCCACCCGGAACCCCUCCCGGCCAGGCCAUC